CCUCAGGUGAUCUACCCGCCUUGGCCUCCCAAAGUGCUGGGAUUAUAGGUGUGAACCACCAUGCCCGGCCCAAAGUCCAAUACUCUUUAAGGAAUGUGACAAGAUUCAGCACUCAACAACAUAAAGUCACAAUAUCCAACAUUCAAUAAAAAUUGCAAGACAUGAUGAAGUGGGAAAACGUCAUCCAAAACUAGAAAAAAAAUAAGUCAACAGAAACAGACCCAGAAAUUAUAGCAAGGAUUAAGUUAGCAGAAAAGGGCAUUAAAAACAAUGCUGUAAAGAUACAAAGGAAAAGAUCAACAUGAUGAAAGAAAUAAAAAAUAUUACCUGCAAGAGGCUGGGCAUGGUGGCUCACGCCUGUAAUCCCAGUACUUUGGGAGGCCAAGGCAGGCGGAUCACAAGGUCAGGAGUUCGAGACCAGCCUGACCAACAUGGCGAAACCCCGUCUCUACUAAAAAUGCAAAACUUAGCUGGGCAUGGUGGCAUGCGCCUGUAAUCCCAGCUACUCAGGAGGCUGAGGCAGGAGAAUUGCUUGAAUCUGGGAGGCAGAGGUUGCAGUGAGCCAAGAUCGUGCCAUUGCACUCCAGCCUGGGCGGCAGAGCAAGACUCUGUCUAAAAAAAAAAAAAAAGUUACCUGCAAGAGUGGUAACAGACCUCUCCUAAGAAAUUUAUGCAAACUAGCAAAUAAGGGAGCAAUAUUUUUAGGUACAUAAGGAAAAAAACCUAUCAACCUAGAAUUUUAUACCUAGCCAAAGUAUCUUUCAAAAACAAAGGCAAAAUAGUUAUUUUCAAGCAAGCAAAAGUUAGAGGAUUCAUUGUCACAGGAUCUAUACUACAAGAAAUAUUAGAGAAACUUCUUUAGGCAGAAGGAUACCAGAGAUAGAUUUAGAGCUACACAAAGGAAUAAAGAGUGCUAAAAAUAGUAAAUAUGUGGCUGGGCAUGGUGGCUCAUGCCUGUGAUCCCAGCACUUUGGGAGGCCCAGCUGGGUGGAUCACCUGAGGUCAGGAGUUUGAGAUCAGCCUGGCCAACAUGGUGAAAACUCAUCUCUACUAAAAGUACAAAAAGUAGCUGGGCAUGGUGGUGGGUGCCUGUAAUCUCAGCUACUCGGGAGGCUGAGGCAGGAGAAUCACUUGAACCAGAGAGGCGGAGGUUGUAGUGAGCCAAGAUCAUGCCACUGCACUCCAGCCUGGGUGACAGAGUGAGACUCCGUCUCAAAAAAAAA
rnacentral:lncRNA from 1 species